CCCUUAGAUGUUCUGGGCCGCACGCGUGCUACACUGAGUGGAUCAGCGGGUCAGGUUGCGCGAAAGUGUUUCCUAAUCUUGAAAUCCGCUCGUGAUGGGGAUUGACGGUUGCAAUUUUCCGUCAUGAACGAGGAAUACCUUGUAAGCGCGGGUCAUCAUCCCGCGCUGAAUACGUCCCUUCCCUUUGUACACACCGCCCGUCGCUCCUACCGAUUGAGUGGUCCGGUGAGGCUUUGGGAUCUGAGCGGAAAGAGCGUUUCGCUGUUUCUGCUCGGAAAACUCAGUCGAACCUUAUCAUUUAGAGGAAGGAGAAGUCGUAACA
rnacentral:rRNA from 1 species